AUUGAACGCUGGCGGCAGGCCUAACACAUGCAAGUCGCACGAGUGGCGGACGGGUGAGUAAUGUCUUGGAAACUGCCUGAUGGAGGGGGCUAACUACUGGAAACUGUAGCUAAUACCUCAUACCAUCAGAUGUUCCCCGAUGGUAUUAGCUUGUUGGUGGGGUAAAGGCUCACCAAGGCUACGAUCCCUAGAUGGUCUGAGAGGAUGACCAGCCACACUGGAACUGAGACACGGUCCAGAAUCCUACGGGAGGCAGCAGUGGGGAAUAUUGCACAAUGGGCGCAAGCCUGAUGCAGCCAUGCCGCGUGUAUGAAGAAGGCCUUCGGGUUGUAAAGUACUUUCAGCGGGGAGGCGUUACCCGCAGAAGAAGCACCGGCUAACUCCGUGCCAGCAGCCGCGGUAAUUC
rnacentral:rRNA from 1 species